rnacentral:snoRNA from 1 species
GUCGACGUACUUCAUAGGAUCAUUUCUAUAGGAAUCGUCACUCUUUGACUCUUCAAAAGAGCCACUGAAUCCAACUUGGUUGAUGAGCAUCAGAGCCUUUGCACCCAAGAGUGAGAACAUUGAUUGUUACAUUAGCUUGGUCCACAACCCUAAGCGGUUUGGCUAUCUACUUACAGUUUUUGCUUUGCCUUUGCAUCUGUACCGUGGUCUUUGAUUACUGGUACUUUAAAGGCGCGAUGAUCUUGGCCCGGAUUGUGCACUUCUUCGUGAAGGGACAAUAUUUCGGGCGGGAGCGAAUGGCAGUCUGACAAGU